GCAACAGAGAUAUUCAUCUGUUGAGGGUUGAGACAGACGUGUGAUCAGGGACUUGAGAGGGUUAAACAUAGGUUAGCCAUUGGAGGAGCUGGGGCAGUCACACAGCAAUGAAGAGAAGGUUAGAGGCCUUCCUGUAUCCCCAUCUAAGGACAUCGAGCAACGUGUGACAGUGCAUCAAGACCAGAGCAGCCACACGCAGCAGACUGGCUUCAUGCGCUUCUCAGAGGGGAGACAGUUUGGUGACUACACUUAAAGGGGAAAGUGAGGCACCAGAGAAAGUUCUGGCAUGACCCAACCCCAUAGCAAGUGGGUUGUCCCGGCAGCAGGAGCCCCAGGGUCUGGCCCACUCACCUUUUCUGCCAGCAGGUUACAUUUGGCUGGAUCUGUGACCUCCUGAGCAGUACAGUCAGUAGCAGCUACCACGAACUCCACCAAAGUAGAGACCGGGAGAGGCUGACAAUAAAAAUGAAAACACACAUGAG